rnacentral:rRNA from 1 species
CAGUCGCCGCGGGAAUACGUAGGUCCCGAGCGUUGUCCGGAUUUAUUGGGCGUAAAGCGAGCGCAGGCGGUUAGAUAAGUCUGAAGUUAAAGGCUGUGGCUUAACCAUAGUACGCUUUGGAAACUGUUUAACUUGAGUGCAAGAGGGGAGAGUGGAAUUCCAUGUGUAGCGGUGAAAUGCGUAGAUAUAUGGAGGAACACCGGUGGCGAAAGCGGCUCUCUGGCUUGUAACUGACGCUGAGGCUCGAAAGCGUGGGGAGCAAACAGGAUUAGAUACCCCCGUAGUCCCUGUCUCUUAUACU